rnacentral:tRNA from 1 species
GGAUUGUGGUUCAGUGGUAGAGCUCUUGCCUAGCAUGUGUGAAACAUUGGGUUCGAUUCUCAGCACCA